GCCGAGGUGGCGUAAUGGUAGCCGCGAUCGACUCAAAAUCGGUUCCCGUAAGGGGUGGGAGUUCAAGUCUCCCCCUCGGCA
rnacentral:tRNA from 1 species